GUGGGGAAUCUUCCGCAAUGGACGAAAGUCUGACGGAGCAACGCAGCGUGAGUGAAGAAGGUUUUCGGAUCGUAAAGCUCUUUCGUUAGGGACGAACGUGCUCUUUGUGAAUAAUGAGGAGUAAUGACGGUACCUAAAUAAGAAGCCACGGCUAACUACGUGCCAGCAGCCGCGGUAAUACGUAGGUGGCAAGCGUUGUCCGGAAUUAUUGGGCGUAAAGCGCGCGCAGGCGGGAUAUCAAGUCUGUCUUAAAAGUGCGAGGCUCAACCUCGUGCGGGGACAGAAACUGGUAUUCUUGAGUGUCGGAGAGGAAAGUGGAAUUCCAAGUGUAGCGGUGAAAUGCGUAGAGAUUUGGAAGAACACCAGUGGCGAAGGCGACUUUCUGGACGAUGUCUGACGCUGAGGCGCGAAAGCUAGGGGAGCGAACGGGAUUAGAUACCCGAGUAGUCC
rnacentral:rRNA from 1 species